CUGCAGCUUAUUAAGCUGACCAGUCUUGCUGCAGUGCGGUUUGGUGUGCAAUGGCUGCAGACAGUGGCCAUGUCCGAAUACCCAU